UACAGAGGGUGCAAGCGUUGUUCGGAAUUAUUGGGCGUAAAGGGAGUGUAGGCGGUCGAGAAAGUCUUCUGUGAAAUCUACGGGCUUAGCCUGUAACGUGCAGAGGAAACUGCUUGGCUUGAGUGUCGGAGAGGAUAGGGGAAUACCCGGUGUAGAGGUGAAAUUCGUAGAGAUCGGGUGGAACACCAGUGGCGAAGGCGCCUAUCUGGCUGACAACUGACGCUGAGACUCGAAAGCAUGGGGAGCAAACAGG
rnacentral:rRNA from 1 species